rnacentral:rRNA from 1 species
AAAGAUUAAUUGCCNNNNGAGGAGCUCGCGUCUGAUUAGCUAGUUGGUGAGGUAAAAGCUCACCAAGGCAUCGAUCAGUAGCUGGUCUGAGAGGAUGACCAGCCACACUGGGACUGAGACACGGCCCAGACUCCUACGGGAGGCAGCAGUGGGGAAUUUUCCGCAAUGGGCGAAAGCCUGACGGAGCAAUACCGCGUGAGGGAGGAAGGCUCUUGGGUUGUAAACCUCUUUUAUCAGGGAAGAACAAAAUGACGGUACCUGANGAAUCAGCAUCGGCUAACUCCGUGCCAGCAGCCGCGGUAAUACGGAGGAUGCAAGCGUUAUCCGGAAUUAUUGGGCGUAAAGCGUCCGCAGGUGGCUUUNCAAGUCUGCUGUCAAAGCNCNGGGCUUAACCCCGNAAAGGCAGUGGAAACUGNAANGCUAGAGUGCAGUAGGGGNAGAGGGAAUUCCCNGUGUAGCGGUGAAAUGCGUAGAGAUCGGGNAAGAACA